rnacentral:lncRNA from 1 species
UCUUGUGCCUAAUCAAUCUACUGUGUCUCCUAAGGAAGAUGCAGACAUAACUGGUGGGUAUGUUCCAGUUUAGAUAGUGACUUGCCACUUGACAUAUUCUGGAAGCUUUAUAUUACUUAAGUAAUUAAUCUAAAGAAAAUCACCUCUAAUGAUUUUAUACUGACAUUGCUAUGCUUAAUAAGGUAUAUCUUGACAAUUAAAUUUUUUGUAUGUGAUGUAUCUUCAUUUGUGCUUGAAUUUUAGGUAAGAGAACUAUCUCUUAAAACUUUGUAUAAUUAAAUCUCAUGUUGUUGGAAUAAUUCAAUUAUAUAAAAGUACUCUCAAGCCAUGUGACCAGAAGCACUGAUUGUAUUUACUCAAUGUGCCUCUUCUGGUAGAUAAGAUCUGUGAAGUUUUAUCAAAUUAUUUUGUAGCUACUCAUUUCCAAAGAACUCCUAAGAAGACCAACAGUAGACAUAAGCACUUAAUUAUUAAGAAGUUCAAAAAAAAAAUAAAGACAGAAUAUUAAAAGCAAAAAAAAAAAAGAAGUUCAUAUAAUAGUGGAAAUUACUUUUAAAAGUAUUUGACAAGCAUUUCAGUUUUUCAUCAAGUAUAAAUAAGUGUGUAUUCAUAGUUUCAGUUCUUUAGGAUAUUUUUUAAAUUUUAAACUUUUUAUUGAUUCUCUGUUUCACAUCAUGCUCCCCAGUCUUGUUCAUCUCUCCAUACCCUCAUACUCACCCUUUGUCCUUGAACUACCCCCCCCC